UACGAAGGGUGCAAGCGUUACUCGGAAUUACUGGGCGUAAAGCGUGCGUAGGUGGUUUGUUAAGUCUGAUGUGAAAUCCCCGGGCUCAACCUGGGAAUGGCAUUGGAUACUGGCAGGCUAGAGUGCGGUAGAGGGUGGUGGAAUUCCCGGUGUAGCAGUGAAAUGCGUAGAGAUCGGGAGGAACAUCUGUGGCGAAGGCGGCCACCUGGACCAGCACUGACACUGAGGCACGAAAGCGUGGGGAGCAAACGGG
rnacentral:rRNA from 1 species